rnacentral:rRNA from 1 species
GAUCGGCCACACUGGAACUGAGACACGGUCCAGACUCCUACGGGAGGCAGCAGUAGGGAAUCUUCCGCAAUGGGCGAAAGCCUGACGGAGCAACGCCGCGUGAGUGAUGAAGGUCUUCGGAUCGUAAAACUCUGUUAUUAGGGAAGAACAUAUGUGUAAGUAACUGUGCACAUCUUGACGGUACCUAAUCAGAAAGCCACGGCUAACUACGUGCCAGCAGCCGCGGUAAUACGUAGGGGGCAAGCGUUAUCCGGAAUUAUUGGGCGUAAAGCGCGCGUAGGCGGUUUUUUAAG